AUACGGAGGGGGUUAGCGUUGUUCGGAAUUACUGGACGUAAAGCGCACGUAGGCGGACUGGAAAGUUGGGGGUGAAAUCCCGGGGCUCAACCCCGGAACUGCCUCCAAAACUUCCAAUCUAGAGAUCGAGAGAGGUGAGUGGAAUUCCAAGUGUAGAGGUGAAAUUCGUAGAUAUUUGGAGGAACACCAGUGGCGAAGGCGGCUCACUGGCUCGAUACUGACGCUGAGGUGCGAAAGCGUGGGGAGCAAACAGGAUUAGAAACCCCAGUAGUCC
rnacentral:rRNA from 1 species